CGGACGGGUGAGUAACGCGUAAGAACACUGCCCUUGGGAGGGGAACAACAGCUGGAAACGGCUGCUAAUACCCCAUAGGCUGAGGAGCAAAAGGAGGAAUCCGCCCAAGGAGGGGCUCGCGUCUGAUUAGUUAGUUGGUGAGGCAAUGGCUUACCAAGGCGACGAUCAGUAGCUGGUCCGAGAGGAUGAUCAGCCACACUGGGACUGAGACACGGCCCAGACUCCUACGGGAGGCAGCAGUGGGGAAUUUUCCGCAAUGGGCGAAAGCCUGACGGAGCAAUGCCGCGUGUAGUUUUUAAGGCCCACGGGUCAUGAACUUCUUUUCUCGG
rnacentral:rRNA from 1 species